AUUUUUCUUGGCCGUACUAUUUUAACUUCUUAAUUAGUUCAUUUUCUUCUUCACUUAGGAAUCUGAGAGGGGCGGUGCUGCUGCUGCUGGUGGUGGAGCUUUUUUUUCUUCCAAAAAUCUCACUCGUUCUUCUUCAACUUGUUAGAGAAGCAUGGGCCGCAAAGCUGGUGGUUUGUACAUAAAUCCAAGGAAGUUUGGGACUCUUUCAAAACCUUGCAUGAAAGAGAUGAUGGCGCUUCUAAAUUGCUUGGCCACUAGUGGGAACAAUGAUGAUAAGUGUGUUAAGCAUAAGGACCUCUUGCGUACUUGCACGGAUACCCAGGCUAGUGCAAACAGAAAGCCAUGGGGAAGCAUCAAUUAUCACUUGCAUAGGCUUAGCAGAGCAAAGAAAUAGUUGCACUAUUCCAGUUAACUGGGGUUUGAGAUUUUAUAUGUAGCUGUGUGAAGAUUUUAUUCUUCAACAAGAUUUUGGGUAUACGUUUUUGUUGGUUCUUUUUUUUUGCCGAUUUUUUGAAACCAAGUUCCUAAAAUAUUUCUGUGAAUGAUUGUUGGGAGGUUAUUCUUUGCCAACAGCUUAACUAGAUUAGUUUUACUUUCAUAUUUGAUAAGAGCAACUUAUGAAACAUACAUGUUAUGGUGAUUUGCCUUUUUAAAAAAAGAAUAAUACGACGCGGAUGCUAAGUUGAAUUUGUGUA